UACGAAGGGGGCUAGCGUUGCUCGGAAUCACUGGGCGUAAAGCGCACGUAGGCGGCUUGUUAAGUCAGGGGUGAAAUCCUGGAGCUCAACUCCAGAACUGCCUUUGAUACUGGCGAGCUUGAGUCCGGGAGAGGUGAGUGGAACUGCGAGUGUAGAGGUGAAAUUCGUAGAUAUUCGCAAGAACACCAGUGGCGAAGGCGGCUCAUUGGCCCGGUACUGACGCUGAGGUGCGAAAGCGUGGGGAGCAAACAGG
rnacentral:rRNA from 1 species